GCACCUCCCACAUUUUUCCUGUUUCUUUCUCGGCACUUCCCGUUGUUUUCCUCGACUCUUUUAACGUGGGCGAGCGAGCAGGACUCGCCUUCCUGGGCUCCCCAGCGACUCGUUCUGUUUGCGGCUUCGGUCCAGCUGAUGAAAGACCCCCCAAGGUCUCCGAGCGUCCCACAGUGCCCCCUGCUGGUAGCCCAUGUCAGCCGAUGGGGCUCAGGAUGCUCCACUUCUGGAAAAAGCUUUUGGACUCCUGACCAGAAGAGGCGCUGCACGCCCCGGCUUUGCAGUGCUCCCGAAACAUGGAGGACCCCCAGCAGUGUGUGCAAACAACCCUACCUGCCCCGCCCCUUGCCAACCGUCAGGGAUGGAAUUUGCCGGAACGAUGGGUUGAAAGAUGACCCAGAGAACUGUUUCUGACAGCAUCGCUUCUCCAUCCGGUCAAGACGUGAUCGGGGACAGCGCGCCCUGUGGCCACCGCGGGUCCCUGCUCCCCUACUGCUCCCUCUCGGGGGGAGCGCAGCUCGUCCGUGCGCUUGCGUGUGCGCUUGCGUGCGCACGUGUGUGUGCUCGCACGUCACCUGCAGAAAAGGACACCGCUGCGGGGUGAACGUGGUGCAAAGGCCACGCGCCCGUGUCCGAGAGGCCCGGUGUCCGAUUUCCACAGACGGAGGCGGCCUGGGGGCUCCCGCUCUCCCACAUGCACUCGUGGGGAGUUAAUUAGGGGACACACCUGUGCGGCUUAUCUGUACCGCGGUAUUCAUUAAAGCACUUC